rnacentral:rRNA from 1 species
UACGAAGGGGGGCUAGCGUUGCUCGGAAUCACUGGGCGUAAAGGGUGCGUAGGCGGGUCUUUUAAGUCAGGGGUGAAAUCCUGGGGCUCAACCUCAGAAUUGCCUCCGAUACUGGCAGUCUCGAGUGCGGGAGAGGUGAGUGGAAUUCCCAGUGUAGAGGUGAAAUUCGUAGAUAUUGGGAAGAACACCAGUGGCGAAGGCGGCUCACUGGCCCGUAACUGACGCUGAGGUGCGAAAGCGUGGGGAGCAAACAGG